CCCUUAGAUGUUCUGGGCCGCACGCGUGCUACACUGAGUGGAUCAGCGGGUCAGGUUGCGCGAAAGUGUUUCCUAAUCUUGAAAUCCGCUCGUGAUGGGGAUUGACGGUUGCAAUUUUCCGUCAUGAACGGGGAAUACCUUGUAAGCGCGGGUCAUCAUCCCGCGCUGAAUACGUCCCUGCCCUUUGUACACACCGCCCGUCGCUCCUACCGAUUGAGUGGUCCGGUGAGGCUUUGGGAUCUGAGCAAAGAGAGCGUUUCGCUCGUUUUGCCCGGAAAACUCAGUCGAACCUUAUCAUUUAGAGGAAGGAGAAGUCGUAACA
rnacentral:rRNA from 1 species